GACGAACGCUGGCGGCGUGCCUAAUACAUGCAAGUAGAACGCUGAAGGAGGAGCUUGCUUCUCUGGAUGAGUUGCGAACGGGUGAGUAACGCGUAGGUAACCUGCCUGGUAGCGGGGGAUAACUAUUGGAAACGAUAGCUAAUACCGCAUAAGAGUAGAUGUCGCAUGACAUUUGCUUAAAAGGUGCAAUUGCAUCACUACCAGAUGGACCUGCGUUGUAUUAGCUAGUUGGUGAGGUAACGGCUCACCAAGGCAACGAUACAUAGUCGACCUGAGAGGGGGAUCGGCCACACUGGGACUGGGACACGGCCCAGACUCCUACGGGAGGCAGCCGUAGGGGAUCUUCGGCAAUGGACGGAAGUCUGACCGAGCAACGCCGCGUGAGUGAAGAAGGUUUUCGGAUCGUAAAGCUCUGUUGUAAGAGAAGAACGAGUGUGAGAGUGGAAAGUUCACACUGUGACGGUAUCUUACCAGAAAGGGACGGCUAACUACGUG
rnacentral:rRNA from 1 species